UUUUAGCAGGCUGCGUUCGGGAUAGUAGCGGCAUCCUUUGCUUGCUUUCUUUAAGCAAGUAAAGAUAUAGCGGAUAGCGCGAGAAAAC
rnacentral:sRNA from 1 species